UGCCAGCCGCCGCGGUAAUACGAAGGGUGCUAGCGUUGUUCGGAAUUACUGGGCGUAAAGAGCAUGUAGGCGGAUGAAUUGGUCAGGGGUGAAAUCCCGGGGCUCAACCCCGGAACUGCCCUUGAUACUGGUAGUCUUGAGUUCGAGAGAGGUGAGUGGAAUUCCGAGUGUAGAGGUGAAAUUCGUAGAUAUUCGGAGGAACACCAGUGGCGAAGGCGGCUCACUGGCUCGAUACUGACGCUGAGGUGCGAAAGCGUGGGGAGCAAACAGGAUUAGAUA
rnacentral:rRNA from 1 species